AUCUUUUAAAAUUGUGCAAAAUUACCCAUCUGUUAGAAAUAUGACAAAUUAAUAUUGUAAUACCCAUUUUACCCUUUUAAUUUUCCUAAUAUGCCCAUUCUUCUCUCUCCACCCCCUGUAAAACUCAAUCUAAACAUAACAGAAAAGACCAUUUUUAUUUUAUUUUUUAUUUUUUAUUUUUUAUUUUUUAUCAAUGACAGGAACUCUAAACCAACUAAAAUUUUGAGUCCAGUUAGGAUCCAAAUUGAGGAAGUUGAAUUGGAUUGUUUAGGCCCUGCUCUCUUGUUGUUGUAAGCAGAGUUUCCAAAGACAAAAACAAAGGCUUGUGACUCCUCAUCUUCUUCGAAAACAGCCACUUCACCUUUUCUUAGCUGAUGGUAUUUCUGAUAUCGCACCAUCUCUCUUCUGCAACAAGCUAGACAGAGAGUCGGAUUUAUAUGAAACAGAAAAGUUGGAUAAGUGGGUAUAUGGGGUUGCUCUGUUUUUUCUUGAAAGAUAGAGAGAGAGAUUUAUAUGAAACAGAAGAGUUGGACAAGUGGGUAUGUGUGAUUUGUUUCAGAAUUUUUUGCAUUGAUUUAUGCGAUUAUUUCUCCUUUUGAUUUUUUGAUCUUAAAAUUUGGAAAAAAGGAGGUGCUGGGACAUUUUCUGUUAUGAUGUUACUAUAUAUGCUAUUACUUCUCUUAUUUUUAAUAUCUUCCAAUAAUUAAUUCUGCAUUUAUUUUGUAACUUGUGUUCAUAUCCGACACUGAACAACCAUGCCAUCAGGAGGGCUGAUAUGAAGAGGAGGGUUUUGGAGACACUCUAUCCGAUCGACAAUGCUAGUAAAAAAAGUGAUUCUCUUUGGAGCUGGAUCAUGGGUAAGAGUCGUUUUAAUUUUUCUCCUAGAUAGUAUUGGACAGGUGGGUAUAUACGGUUCUUCGAGGGAAGGCGCUUCUAGGGUGUUGUAUUGUGGUUCUUGAGAGAGCGAGAGAGGAAUGGGAGGUGAUAAUGAAGACAAAAUCGGAGGCUUACAGAGGAGAGGAGGGGUUUUAAUUUUGACGGCGGCCGAAGAUGAGGUUCCUGGCUUACAGAGGAGAGGAGGGGUUUUAAUUUUGACGGCGGCCGAAGAUGAGGUUCCUGGCUUACAGAGGAGAGGAGGGGUUUUAAUUUUGACAUCGGCUGAAGAUGGGGUUUCUGGCUCUGGUCGAAGCCACCGAUCGGGACGGUCAUGGCGGUGGAAACAGCGGUUUGAAACUCAGACACGAAUUGCAGAAUGGUGUGCAAAAAGACAAAGCCACUGUUUAUUAUCCUUUUUUAUCUUUUUACAAAAUUUUGUAUUUUUCUAUAUUUUAAAAAAUUGUUGACUGAGGGUAUUUUAAUAAAUUUUGGUUUUAAAUA